AUUGAACGCUGGCGGCACGCCUUACACAUGCAAGUCGAACGGUAACAGGCCGCAAGGUGCUGACGAGUGGCGAACGGGUGAGUAAUGCAUCGGAACGUGCCCAGUCGUGGGGGAUAACUGCUCGAAAGAGCAGCUAAUACCGCAUACGACCUGAGGGUGAAAGCGGGGGACCGUAAGGCCUCGCGCGAUUGGAGCGGCCGAUGUCAGAUUAGCUAGUUGGUGGGGUAAAGGCCUACCAAGGCAACGAUCUGUAGUUGGUCUGAGAGGACGACCAGCCACACUGGGACUGAGACACGGCCCAGACUCCUACGGGAGGCGGCAGUGGGGAAUUUUGGACAAUGGGCGCAAGCCUGAUCCAGCAAUGCCGCGUGCAGGAAGAAGGCCUUCGGGUUGUAAACUGCUUUUGUCAGGGAAGAAAUCUUCUGGGCUAAUACCCCGGGAGGAUGACGGUACCUGAAGAAUAAGCACCGGCUAACUACGUGCCAGCCGCCGCGGUAAGAC
rnacentral:rRNA from 1 species